ensembl:lncRNA
AGAGGAGGAAGGUUGAUGUUGUCCUGGAGGAGCGGAGGAAGUUUGAUGUUGUCCUGGAGGAGAGGGGAAAGGUUGAUGUUCUCCUGGAGGAGAGGAGGAGAGGAGGAAGGUUGAUGUUGUCCUGGAGGAGCGGAGCAAGGUUGAUGUUGUACUGGAGGAGAGGUGGAAGGUUGAUGUUGUCCUGGAGGAGAUGAGGAAGGUUGAUGUUGUCCUGGAGGAGAGGAAUGAAGGUUGAUGUUGUACUGGAGGAGAGGAGGAUGGUUGAUGUUGUCCUGGAGGAGAGGAGGAAGGUUGAUGUUGUACUAGAGGAGAGGAGGAAGGUUGAUGUGUUCCUGGAGGAGAUGUGGAAGGUUGAUGUUGUACUGUACUCCUGGGGGAGAGGUGGAAGGUUGAUGUUGUCCUGGAGGAGAGGUGGAAGGUUGAUGUUGUCCCGGAGGAGAGGAGGAAGGUUGAUGUUGUACUAGAGGAGAGGAGGAAGGUUGCUGUUGUACUGUACUCCGGGAGGAGAGGAGGAAGGUUGAUGUUGUCCUGGAGGAGAGGAGGAAGAUUGAUGUUGUACUGUAGUCCUGGAGGAGAGGAGGAAGGUUGAUGUUGUCCUGGAGGAGAGGGGAAAGGUUGAUGUUGUCCUGGAGGAGAGGUGGAAGCUUGAUGUUGUCUUGGGGGAGAGGUGGAAGGUUGAUGUUGUCCUGGAGGAGAGGAGGAAGGUUGAUGUUGUGCUAUAGUCCUGGAGGAGAUGAGGAAGGUUGAUGUUGUCCUGGAGGAGAGGAGGAAGGUUGAUGUUGUCCUGGAGGAGCGGAGGAAGUUUGAUGUUGUCUUGGAGGAGAGGGGAAAGGUUGAUGUUGUCCUGGUGGAGAGGAGGAGAGGAGGAAGGUUGAUGUUGGUUGUCCUGGAGGAGAGGUGGAAGGUUGAUGUUGUCCUGGAGGAGAGGAGGAAGGUUGAUGUUGUACUGUAGUCCUGGAGGAGAGGUUGAAGGUUGAUGUUGUCCUGGAGGAGAGGAGGAAGGUUGAUGUUAAACUGUAGUCCUGGUUUCUCUACUUUCUUCAGAGCUGGAGGUGAGAGGACAGGACAGAGGAGACGUAUCUAGGCUAAAGAAAGAUAGAUGAGAGCCUAAUAGGGGAAGAGGGGAUAGCGUGUUGUACUGUGGAGCCAGAGGAACAGCAGAGAGGCUUCUGGG